GACGAACGCUGGCGGCGUGCUUAACACAUGCAAGUCGAACGAGAGCGUAGAGAAAGCUUGCUUUUUCUACAAUCUAGUGGCAAACGGGUGAGUAACGCGUAAACAACCUGCCCUACGGAUGGGGACAACAGCUGGAAACGGCUGCUAAUACCGAAUACGUUCCGAAAGUCGCAUGACUAUCGGAAGAAAGGAUGGCCUCUAUUUAUAAGCUAUCGCCGGAGGAGGGGUUUGCGUCUGAUUAGCUAGUUGGAGGGGUAACGGCCCACCAAGGCGACGAUCAGUAGCCGGUCUGAGGGGAUGAACGGCUACAUUGGAACUGAGACACGGUCCAGACUCCUACGGGAGGCAGCAGUGGGGAAUCUUCCGCAAUGGGCGAAAGCCUGACGGAGCAACGCCGCGUGAGUGAAGACGGCCUUCGGGUUGUAAAGCUCUGUUAUACGGGACGAAUAAUCUUGUGGUUAAUACCCAUGAGAAGUGACGGUACCGUAAGAGAAAGCCACGGCUAACUACGUG
rnacentral:rRNA from 1 species